CGGAUGAUCCGGUUUCGUUGGUUUGGAGGGCCAUCUGUAAUGAUGAAUAGGAACAAUUGGGUGUGUUGAUACUUGCAUGCUAGAGGUGAAAUUCUUAGAUUUUGCAAAGAUCAACUAGUGCGAAGGCAUUCACAAAGGAUGUUUUCAUUGAUCAAGAACGAAAGUCGGGGGUUCGAAGACGAUCAGAUACCGUCGUAGUCUCGACCGUAAACCAUGGUAGCUUGCGGUGCUGCUUGUAUCACAAACAUGAUGGCGAGCGGCGAAGCAUCGGGAAACUAUUAGCGUUUGACCCCCGGGGGGACUACAGUCGCAAGGCUGAAACUUGAAGAAAUUGACGGAAGGGCACCACCAGCGGUGGAGCCUGCGGCUCAAUUUGACUCAACACGGGGA
rnacentral:rRNA from 1 species